AGCACUUGCUGCCGCCGGGGAUUUUAGUGAGAAUAUGAACUGUAAUGGGAUUGAUUAAUCGCUUUGGAAACGUGCUGGAGAACUUGAGGCAGGAAAGUGACGAGCUCGGGGUCCAUCCAUAUAAGGAAACUCCCCUGUGAGGGAGAACCCCCGGAGCCUGACAGAUUCAGUGAAGAGAGAAACAGAGUCAGCAGAUGAUUUACAGGCUGGGUGGAAAGAAGCACUGCAUUCGCUGAGGGGGCAACCGGUGGCGCGUCACGUGGGAGGCAUCUGCGCGCAGAUGCACAUCACUUUGGAAACCACUCACGUGCAUGGUCGCUAUCAUAAGAAUGGAAGAGAGACACAGGAAAAAGAGCGGAAAACAGUAGGUAAAGGCAGACCUGGAGGCCCCAACACAGGCAGGCGAGAAAGCACCCACAAAAGAGGCUGAAGCUGGAAGACUCCUGUGGAGGAUGGUGUCACCAAAAGCCAAAGAAACAGCAACUGAAGAAGCUUACCAGCUGCCAUCAAGCUGGCCACAAUGUGGGUGUGGUGGUUCACCCUAUAACCCGAACAAACACCGGGGAGGCUGAGGCAGAAAGAUUGAGACCAGCUUAGGCUAUUCAGAUAUAGGCUUGCCCUAUGUCAAAACAAACAGAUAAAGACCUCAAAUGUGUGUGGAGGAUGAUAAACGGAAUGAGCCAAAACUGAAAGAGAUUUUUAAAAUACCCACUGCUUUCCUAAGGAACAUCUGGAAAGCAGCGCAAGAUGGGGACCUUGGGAGGUGUCUGUCAAUAGGAACAUCUGUCUAUCCACCAGCUCUCCUUUUUUUAGACGAGAGUACUUGCUUUGCUUGGGGAUGUUUGACUUGAGGACAGCACAAAGAAUUUAAGAAGUGUUCUUUUCCAUGAGUGUGGGAGGCAGUGCUGGCUGAGGGGCGGAAACAGGAAGCUGGCUGAUGCCUCCAUUUCCUGGAUGGACCACGGAGCAGUUGUUCUCAGGGGAAGACGAUAGCUGAGGAACGGAGAGUUGUCUGGGGGUGGACACCAGAGUCCUGUAAGAGAGGGACAUUCGGUUGGAUGUCACAAAGCCGUGUGUGCGCCUUUUUUUCUGUGCAUCUCUGAGAAUAUCCUUUUAAAUGCCUGAUUCUCUGGGGACAAAGUCUAAACAUUAUGCUGAGAGCUAACCAGACCUGCGUGGACACAACAGAAUCCAGCGUCUUAGCAACUUGCUACUAGCAGUCUGCUGUGCACUUCACUGUAAAACUUCAUGGUCAUAGAUUGAAGUCCCAUCUUUGGGAGAAGUGGAAAUCUGGAUAUGUGGGCACUAGCUGUGGGAACAUAAACAGGCAAGAGCACGUGAGACGGCAGUGUGGGAACUGUGUCUGUAGCCCACCUGGCAGAAUGAAUGCUUGCAACAACGCACACGAGGCCUUGGGUUAGAUCCCCAACACUAUAGACACCAGGAGUACUUGCACAUGCCUGUAAUCCCAGCACUAAGGAUACAGAGGCAGGGUUAGAAGUAUAAGGUCGCCCUUAGCUACACAGUGAGUUCAAGUCCAGCCUAGGCUAUUUGAGACUGUCUUAGAGCUGAAUAAAGAAUAAAAACAAGCAGAACUAAAACUGAACAACAAAAGAAUGAGGUGAGAAUGGGGCCACCGGGAAGUCAGAGAGAGAAGCGUAAGCCUCUAACCACCAAAGCUGUGGGAAAUUUAUGUUGCUCAAAAGCCCCGCCUGUAGUAUUUUGACAUGGCACUCUAAGUAAUCACUGAUACAAUGGAGAUUUUAAAAUAAUACACAUAAAUCCUUAACCACAUGAGUACUUAGUAAAAAGUUAUUACACUCAUUAAAAGAUCUCAGAUCAGGGAAUUAAGGGGAUACUGAAAUGGAUUGGGGGGGAUUGAAGUUUAAUAAAAGAGUUAUUAAUGCCACAGACAGACAAAUAAACAACACAGGUUCAGGCCCCAGCACCAGAAGGAGACAGCAUGAUAGAGGCUCUGAAGAGAGACCCAGGGUUUUUUUUUUAAUUUUUUAAUUUUUUACUCGAUAUAUUUUUUAUUUACAUUUCAAAUGAUUUCCCCUUUUCUGGCCCACUCCCUGAAAGUCCCAUAAGCCCUCUUCCCUCCCCCUGUUCUCCCACCCAUCCCUUCCCACUUGCCUGUUCUGGUUUUUCCCUAUACUGCUAUACUGAGUGUUUCCAGAACCAGGCCACUCCUCCGUUCUUCUUGUACCUCAUUUGAUGUGUGGAUUAUGUUUUGGGUAUUCUAAUUUUCUAGGCUAAUAUCCACUUAUUAGUGAGUGCAUACCAUGAUUGACCUUUUGAGACUAGGUUACAUUUCUAAUGAGCUCCUGGUGAACUCUGCUAUAUUAGGCAGAAGACCACACCGGGCUACACUGAAGACACAGGAUGUAUAGUUCCAAGGGGAGCUAUUAUUGUUCGAUACACAAGACAUAGAGUCACCAUCAAAAGGGGUUGGAAAACACUCGCUAAACCGGAUCCCAUAGUCAUAUAAACAGUGAUUAGAGAUUGCAGGACCAUAGUGGUAUGUUUAUAAUUCAAGGCCAAGUUAGGGUGCUGGGACAGGUGAGGUUACUUGAGGGAGUCGUGAAGAAAUCAAGGAACCUGCCCCCAUUCUGUGUGGGGAAUAAAGAAACCUUUCUCUCUAGGAGAACGCAUCUGGGCUAACAAGUCUCUCUCCGCCAGGCUGUAUUCAGCUCCUUCCGCUCCUCUCUAAGGACAGGUGUAACAGGUUGCUGCCGCUCCAGGGGAGGGGAGGAGAAAAGGGUUUGGGUGGGUGUAUGGCACUGUUUACACUCCUGCUAGCUAAUAUUUGGUUUCCUUAUCUUUGGAAAGCUUGCUGGCUGCCGGUGUCAGCUGGGAGGCCACCCGAUCCCAAUCAGAACCCAAAGUCUUUAAGGAAGUUAGUGUCCUCCUGUGGAUCUGCAGUGAGGCUUUGACAAGAGAGAGUAGUACCACGGGCACUUGACCUCAGGUUACCUGCUAUUAACAUCUUUGCCAGAAGCCCCACAUCUUCACUAGUGGAACUCUAGCUAUGCUCUGAAAAAAAAAAAAAAAAAAGUCCCUUUUGAUCUGAGACUUGAUAGCCCAGGUACCUACGUAAACUCAAAUAACAUUAGCCUCAAAUGAAGAAUGUAUAUGUGAUAAAAUGAUUCUUAAUGACAUUCUGAUAUACUUAUAGAUCAGUGUCUUCUUCAACCAUCAUCAGUCACUUCCUACCGCAGUAGAUGGGAACAAAUCAAAUAUGGAGAUCCACAGCUUGGCGUCACACAGAGAGUUAGAGACCUGGGAACACCCCACCUUAAAUGGGAGGUCUUCAUUGAAUCCCUUCCCUCAGGGCUCAGAGAACCCCAUGGAGCAGGAUGGGGAAAGAGGCAGAGGGUAUGGCGGACACCCAGUCAGAGACAGAAGCAGCAAGCAUGGGCUUGGCACCAGGUCCUCGGUUGUAGCUAUCAUGGCUCCCAGUGCAGUGUUCUUCUAUUACGGCUUCCAGUUCAGUGUUUUUAGGGGAUUCCUGAGUGUGUAAACAAGGUCUUGAUUCUUAUCCCUUCACUUGGGCUCUUUGUCCUUCUGUUGGUUUGUCUUGUACAAUUUUAAUAAGAUCAUUUCUCUUUUAUCUUA